UAGGGAAUCUUCCGCAAUGGCCGCAAGUCUGACGGAGCAACGCCGCGUGAGUGAAGAAGGAUUUCGGUUCGUAAAACUCUGUUGUUAGAGAAGAACAGCGCAUAGAGUAACUGUUAUGCGUGUGACGGUAUCUAACCAGAAAGCCACGGCUAACUACGUGCCAGCAGCCGCGGUAAUACGUAGGUGGCAAGCGUUGUCCGGAUUUAUUGGGCGUAAAGCGAGCGCAGGCGGUUAGAUAAGUCUGAAGUUAAAGGCAGUGGCUCAACCAUUGUAGGCUAUGGAAACUGUUUAACUUGAGUGCAGAAGGGGAGAGUGGAAGUCCAUGUUUAGCGGUGAAAUGCGUAGAUAUAUCGCGGAACACCGGUGGCGAAAGCGGCUCUCUGGUCUGUAACUGACGCUGAGGCUCGAAAGCGUGGGGAGCGAACAGG
rnacentral:rRNA from 1 species